AAGAAAUUCAAGAUAUUUGAAGUUGGAGUUUCAGAAAGUCUCGGAGAGCAUAUGAGACGCUUCAACUUGGACAUUAUUGAAAAGGCCGGCUUAUGUAUCAGCACAGAGCUAGACUAUGUAUAUGAACUGGUCAUUGGAGUCAUUGAUGUAACUAGAAGCAAAGAGAGGGGAUAUCAAACAUUGGUGAAAGAAGGGUUCUGUGCUGAGUUGGAUGAGCUGAGGCAAAUAUACGAGGAGUUGCCAGAGUUUCUGCAGGAGGUUUCAGCGAAGGAGUUAGAACACUUUCCUCAUUCGCAUAAGGAAAAGCUUCCUCCUUGUAUCGUCUAUAUAUUCAACAAAUUGGUGGGUCUGAAGUUUCACGUUUUAGCUUUCGCAUAAGUUCUAUACAGUGUUAUAUACUAGCUAUUUUUUAACAUAAUUACCUUUUGGAAUUUCAUCUCAUCCCUAAGAAAGGUGAGAUUUAGCUGCACGAAUUCAUUUUUGGGAACCACAUGUCCUGGAAUUAUCAGCUCAACUAUGGUGUCUAUGCUUCUUGAUUGCUCAAUAGCCUUUCACUCUACGAUGCGUCUCUUACAAAUCACGACCACAUGUAUUUCUUCACACUUUGAUAACAGUUAUUUUGUUUCUGUAAAUGAAUAUAUAGUUUUUAAAUGAAUAUUGGUAAUCAAUAUUCAAAAGCUGCGGAUAUCACAUAUCAUUUCUAGUCUCUCCUCUUAAAGAAAAGCAACACUUGUUCGCGUUCCUACUAACUAAUUAGCUAUUUAUGAGAAAUGACUUAUUCAUUCUUCUUGGUUUUUCAAGCAUUUUAUCGUUGGCUUGUGUAUCCCAUCAGAAUAACUACGUAAGGCCUGUCCUGACAAUAGAAUCAUUGCUUGUAAUUCGAAAUGGAAGGUGAAGUUGACUCUGUCAGCUGCACUUAUCUCUUGUUGUUGCAUUUAUAAAUAAACUCCUUACGGAAAAUUAUAUCUGUAAAAAUCAGUACUGGUGGGCAGGCAUAUAUUGCAGGAAAUGGCUGUGGAUACAUUUAUCCCGAGCGACACUGAAAUCAAUGAUAAUGGUGGCUUUACUUGUUUUCCUAUCCCAUAUUGGAAGCUUUGUACCAGCAGAUGCAACAACUAUUGGUUUAACUGACAGGUCUUAACGUCAUGCAUUAUUUUUUAUCCUUUUUACAAUCGCUUUUUAUGUAUAUUUUCGUUACUAAGAUUAGUCGUACUACAACAAGAUCUUUUGUGCAAUGGGAAGCAAGUUCAUGACUGCGGAGCAAUCUACAUUUAUGAAAGAUCUGCAUCAGGGAGGAAUGAUGCUCAGGCAGGCAACUUCAAGAUCUGUGUGUCUAUUAGACGAGUUUGGUAAAGGCACUCUAACAGAAGAUGGUAUUGGCUUGCUUGGUGGGAGAAUUAUUUCAUACGAGAA